GAUGAAGAACGUAGCGAACUGCGAUAAGUAAUGUGAAUUGCGGAAUUCAGUGAAUCAUCGAGUCUUUGAACGCACAUUGCGCCCCCUGGCAUUCCGGGGGGCAUGCCUGUCCGAGCGUCAUUGCUGCCCUUCAAGCCCGGCUUGUGUGUUGGGUCGUCGUCCCCCCCGGGGGACGGGCCCGAAAGGCAGCGGCGGCACCGCGUCCGGUCCUCGAGCGUAUGGGGCUUUGUCACCCGCUCGAUUAGGGCCGGCCGGGCGCCAGCCGGCGUCUCCAACCUUCUAUUUUACCAGGUUGACCUCGGAUCAGGUAGGGAUACCCGCUGAACUUAAGCAUAUCAAUAAGCGGAGGA
rnacentral:misc_RNA from 1 species